UACAUGGGGUGCAAACGUUGCUCGGAAUUACUGGGCGUAAAGCGCGCGCAGGCGGUCUUGCAAGACAGAUGUGAAAUCCCCGGGCUCAACCUGGGAACUGCAUUUGUGACUGCAAGGCUGGAGUGCGGCAGAGGGGGAUGGAAUUCCGCGUAGCAGUGAAAUGCGUAGAUAUGCGGAGGAACACCGAUGGCGAAGGCAAUCCCCUGGGCCUGCACUGACGCUCAUGCACGAAAGCGUGGGGAGCAAACAGG
rnacentral:rRNA from 1 species